UGGGAUGUAGCUCAGUGGUAGAGCACACCUAGCAUGUGUGAGGCCCUGGGUUCAAUUCUAAAUAUUCCAA
rnacentral:tRNA from 1 species